rnacentral:lncRNA from 10 species
CAGGGUUUCACCAUGUUGGCCAGGAUGGUCUCAAUCUCCUGACCUUGUGAUCUGCCUGCCUUGGCCUCCCAAAGUUCUGGGAUUACAGGUGUGAACCACUGCACCUGGCCUAAACUUUUAUAUUAUAUAAACUAGUAAAAAUAAUUUUUAAUAUUUUAGGUCAUGGGAAAUUCAGCAGCAUAGUAAUUAUCAAAGUAGUAAAUUUUUUCAGCAAAGGAGGUCAAGGAUAGACUGUUACAAGUGAAAAAAAUAGGAUAUUAAUCAACAAAAUUCUCAAUCUGAAUAGCCACAAUUUUUCAGUUUCUGUACCUGAAAUAGUUUCUGCAUGGGACAGAUUGGACUAACCAAAUUUAUCUCAUUUUUAUGACUCUAGCCUAACUACCCUCCCCAUUAAAUAAUGUUUUUAAGUAUAUACAAAGGGAAAAAAACAACUUUUUGAAUUAUGAGAUAUACUGAAUAAAACAAUAAUGAAAAAGCUAUUUAUAAAAUAGUUAAGAUUAGAUUAUAAAUCUAAAGUUGUAUUUUCUUGGCCCUAAAGGACUCCAAUAUUGUUUACAUCUCAAAUUAUUGGCCGGGUGCGGUGGCUCACGCGUGUAAUCCCAGCACUUUGGGAGGCCGAGGCGGGCAGAUCACCUGAGGUCAGGAGUUCGAG